AAAUUGAUUUAUCCCCUGAUGACAGUCAGUUGCUGAUGGAGUUGCUGGAGAGAAAGAGUUCUUCAGUUCAGGAUCUCCCUGGAGCUGCUCCUUACUCUCUCCAUCUUACUGUGUGCUAUGAAGGCCUGAUGCUGCCAGGGACCACGCACCUUUUGGGAUGCUUGGCACUGAAAUGCCCAUGAAGCCCUUACUGUUAAUCAAGAGAGGGAGAUUAGAGGAGAUCAGAACUACCAGCCUGAAGAGCGCUUUGCAUUUGACUACACCUUUCUAUCAGCAUAUGUUUUUCUUCUGAUAUUUCUGCAGGGAGUUCUCCAGAUAUGCAGAGCUAGAACAAUUCCAGAGAACUGUUUUUACUGUCACGACGAAAAUGUAGAAUACAAGCAAAUGAGAGCAACAGAAUGCUACCUCAGCUUGUUGUGAUCACCUUCGCCUUAAUAACUGGAAGUGAAACUUAACACUGAUGUUUGCGAAUGCCUCGUUUUAGAACAACACUCUGCUUCCCUGCAGACAAUUACAGUCUUCUAUUUCUUGGCUCAUUUUGCUGUGAGACCACAUCCAAAAAAAUCCUUUGCAAUGCAAAGGUUUUCCUGAAGAAAUUAUCAAAUGCAGCUAGGAAAAUAGAUUUGAAGGAGUACUGAUGCCUAACCAUAACCCUAACUCUAACCCUAACCAUAAGAAAAUGGACACCUAAAGAAAAUUGAUCCUAAUACCUCCUUGUGAGUCACGGUACUGAAAAGCUGUCAGGUCCUCAGCAGAAAGGUGGAUUUAUCAAUAAUCAGAAUAUCUUCUGUUGGUGGUGCGUUGGAGCACUGCUUCCUUUUAUUUGAACAUAACUGCUGGCUUUGUAGGUAUACUGUCACUGACAGCUGUUUUAUUGAUUUGGAGUUUUUCUUUUGAGGGCGUUUUAGGAAACUUCUUAGGCUUAUAAAAAUAAACUCUAUGAUAGCUCU
rnacentral:lncRNA from 7 species